AUAAUACUCCCUCCGUCCGAAAAUACUUGUCAUCAAAAUGGAGAAAAAAGAAUGUAUCUAAAACUAAAAUACAUCUAGAUACAUCCCCUUUUAUUCAUUUUGAUGACAAGUAUUUCCAGACGGAGGGAGUAUAAG
rnacentral:pre_miRNA from 1 species